UUUUUUUCUUUCCUUUGAUUUUAGAUUUUAAUCAAAUGUUUGAUGGAAAUUUCUCUGGAAAUUUGAAUCAUUAAGUGCUAUAUAUGAAUCUGUAAUGAACUUGUUUGAAUUUAGUUGAUUUCGUUUCCAUGGUCUUCACUCAUUGGAAUCUCACGUUCUUUACUCGUUCAAAUCAAGUAAUUCCUCCUCGUUCUUGUUAUAUACCUUUCCCAUUCUUUGAAACUCAAGAUCCUUAUUUUGUUUGCACUGUGCUGUAAUUGGGAGAACUUUUG
rnacentral:misc_RNA from 1 species